GAGGAAAUAGAGGAAAAAUAUGAAAAGGAGAAGCAUAGUAAAACACCUGAGGGAGAGAAAAGCAGUAAUAGCACAGAUGAAACUGUAGAGGUAAAAUCAUUUAUCCCUAUUAAGUUAUUGGUCUCUGAAAGAAUUUGGUUCUAUAACUUAUAUUAGUUUGUAUGUAUGUGUAGUUACCUUGGAAAUGCAAAGCUGGUGUUAUAGGUGGUUUCAGUAGAGGGAGGAACAUGUAUGUAGGUGUUAAUAGUUAAACAUUUUAUUUUUUAACGUUUGAAAUUAGAAAUGUCAUUGUUUUAUCUCUCUAUAGCCAGAAGAGACUACUCAGAAAGAGACCAUCAUUCAGCAGGAGAAAGAAGAUACUGACAACCACACUGUGAACAGUUCUACAGAGAACACUGAUGACCAAAUAACUGGAGGAGUUGGGAGGAAAAAGCGAAAGCCACUGACAGGCCAGAAGAAUGUAUGUAGCAGAAAGGAAGAUAGAUUUGGAAAACCAUUACAGAGCGGACAAGAAAAAGAAAAGGAAG